GUCUUCCCAGUCCUAAAUGAUCUCUUCAAGAAAGGGAUGUUUCAACAAGAGCAACAAAGUACAAGCAUAGACAUUGAGAACCCCUCAUGCUGCAUAACAGCAGGAAGGAACACUAAUAGCAGAUUUUCCUGUUCAUUUUCAAAAACUAAUGAUGUUCUGUAACUAUAAGUAGUGAAAAUGGGGUACUGUCUUCCAAAAUGACAGUACAGCACCUCAUUCUUCUGGUUUUCAUCUUGGGAUCUCAGUUCCUCUGUACAUCAGUGUGCUAAUUGCACAUGGAGCUAAUAUCUGUCUCAGGUUCAGAACUGAUGUUAGCAAUUAGCACCUAGUCAGCCAGUGAAUGUAGGAUUCACUUUAACUUGUCCUGGACAUUAGUUGAAAGAAAAGAAAAGAAAACAUAAGUGGAACUACAGAUAAGUGAAACACCUGGACAUAAAAAGUCUGUGGGGACAAAUGCCACUUCUGGAAAUGGUUCUUCCACAGAGCAGCACAUAUUCAAGACCAUGCAGAAGUCCACACCACUACCAGAUACUCUUCUCAUUCUUUGUUUGCUGAAAUAAUUUUGUCUCAAAGGUUUUGAAAGAUUUUCAUCUUCAUUUUUAAUCAAAAGAGCAUCACAGUGUAUUUCAUAAAUAGCAGAAACAAUAUUUUCCAUAAUCACCGUGGAAGGUUUAUCAUGUCACUCUUCUUCAAAGUCACCUUUUUAAGCAGAAAAACAAAUUAUUGAGCUACUCUGUCCCUUAAAUUAGCUUAAAAAGAAAAAUGGGUAGCAACUCCUAUAGAGAAAGAUCCAGAAAUUCCCAGUGAUUAUUUUAUUACACUUUACAAAAAUGCCAAAGGUUUUGUGCUGUACAGCGUGAAAAACACCACAUUUUCUAAUGAAAAAAAAAAAAAAAAAAAAAAAAGCCACUCUGAAGAAUCCUUCUAAUUAAAUUACUCCUGGAAGUCGGAAUAAUUUUGCUGUUUGUACAGCGGGUUUUCAACUCUGGGAGGUCUGUUCAUUUUCCUUAGAUUAAAAGGAGUGAACUUGUUAUGAACUUCUUCCCAAUAGAAGAAGAAAAACUAGCAAGGUGGGAUGUUAAAAAUGCAAACGACUGGUUUUACAAUGGAAACUGCAUCUUCUGGAGGAAAUUUUUUCUAUUCCAUGCUGAUUUUCUGCUGUUUCCAAGAACACCAUCUUAUGGAAUUAGGAUUGUGGUAUCUAACACAACAGUGUAUUAGGUAUGGCUAUUGAACAUGGGUACCUGUUUUCUUUGGGUUUGCAACCAACACUGAGUUUUAAGUAAUAGCAGAAAAUAUCCACUUUCAGUGUAGUUAUCAAGAAAUUUUUUUAAACAAAGUACUGCUAUAAUCAAACUGUUCCUUUCUAAACACUAGAGAAUAAACGUUCAGCACAAGGGUCUUUGCAACCACAACCACAGAGGAAAGUUGACACUUAUCUGUUCCUGAUUCACUGAACCCGUAUGCCUGCAUCUGCUGCAUCUGCAUUUUCAGAAGCAGUAGCAUGGAAUAACACCUGGCUUGAUCAUGUGGUUCAGAAUUACACUACAAGGAGAAAAACAAGACAACAAACCAUAAAAAAACCACAUGUAAUUCAGAAGACGCUUCAUCUAUCUUCAGAAAGUGAAGUGCUACAAGCAUUCAGUUACUCAGAGUCCUAAAGACUGCCCGUCACGACACGGAGCCUUGUUUGGUAAAGAUCCUGUGCUCCCACCUCAGCACUGGCCAAACUCCUUUCGGAUACAAAAAGAGUCACACGUUUUCUGUGUUACUGGGAAAUAACCCAAGAGAAAUUAUAAACAAUGUAAUCUGAGAAGUUGGUUUUAUGCUUUUGCAAAGGCUUUGAUAGGUCCUGUUGGCUCACACCAACGUUUUGAAAAUAGUUCCACAUAUUUUACUGGUAGCAAUGUUUCCCCAUCGUUCUGAAAUCCCAGCAUGGGACCAUUAAAGCAAAUGUCCUUUUCAAGGCAUAAAACAGAGCAGAGCAACCAGAAAUUGGGUACAAUAGAUAGGAAGAUGACGAACUGCAAUUUCAACCUCUGAGAACGAUCAGAGAUGGAGACCUCCAUUCUGGGGUUUUAGCAUCUUCAGCAUGGCAUUUCUCUAUGACUGAUUCUAUGAUUUUUCUUACACUGGCUAACACAAGAAAUCACUAUUUUGAACCACUGUUAAGUUACCUGCUUAAAAUAUCAUACGCCUUUGCAGAGAGAAACAAACAGUAAGUUAAAGAGCUCAGGCGGCUGGAGUUCUGGAAAGGAACAUGUGCACACAAUAUGGGUAUCUCAUAGAUGAAGAUGACUGACUUGGGUCUGAGAGCAAAGUGGCAUUUUCUGGAUUUUAGACCCAGAAAAUCCCAUUACAGUUCAGAUGACUAAGGCUCCAAUUCCGAGAAAAGGAUAUUUAAAUGAAAUCCAAACCAGCUCUAUAAGAAGAUACUUAAAUUGCUACUUAUUAUGCAAAAACUUAGCAAUUUGUUAAACCUGUAUCCAAUUAAAUUGAAAUAAAUUUCAGAAUACAUUUAAAUGCUUUUCUAAAUUGGAACUUUAAAACCUUUUCCUGGAAACUGAUAAGGAAUAUCUACAACAGUUGAGACUUACUGUAGCAGUUUCCAUAUUUCACUCUGGUCACACUUCCACACAGUCACUAGAAAGUCGUAGCGCAGACUUUGUCUACUUUCAAAAAUUAAUGCUCUCUGUGGGAGCUUUGUUAAUAGUCAGAACUUAAUUGCUUUACAAUGCUCUCCAAUCAAGACCAUUUCUAGCAACUCACUGGGUUAUAGUACUAACAAACCAUUCACCCCAGCAGCGAGAGUGAUUGCCCAAAACUGUUACACAGAAAUAGGCAGGGUAUCCCUCCAACAGUCUGAACUGUGGGUUUUGUUUGUGCUUCUACUGCACAUCACCACUGUGCAUGAGAAAAACUAAAGUAAAUCAACAUUUUUACUUCUUUGGAUUUCUGAAUUUAACUACUGCUUCACUUUACUUGCCCCUGUCAGAUUUGUUCUGCUCAGCAGUUGACAGUUGACUCAAUUCUGGCCCCUUUGAAGGGGACGUUUUUAACCACCUGAAUGAACAAAAACAAACUAGACCUUUUUCUUUCUUUCUGUGAAUAGCCAGAACUUUUGAAAUCAGUCUGCCUGGGUUCUACAUAGUGGAAUACUUGAAAAAUCUGACCUACAUCUAAACACAGUGACUAAGAAACCUUUAUUGACUUCAGUGAGUGGCCUUUGAAUCGGGGUCUACAAGAAACUGUGGCUUUGUGUUUUAAGACAAAUAAGAAAACAGAAUUUAAAGGGACACAUUGUUUCAAACAGACUCAUUGAAUUCCUUAGCAACAAUUUAAGAAGUCACAAGGGAAAUGAGUUUUUAUGGUCUCAUCAUUUCUUUGAUGUAAAAGUGCACACUCCAUCUUUCUGGCAUUUCAUUCAACAGCCUCACACAAGAAAAAAAGAGCCCCACUGUGCAUAAAGAGAAUAAAAUAUGUUCAAGAAGAAACAGGAAAAGAGAUUCAGGUUAAUACGAAGGUCAACCUCUUUCUGUGUUUCAAAUCUGCACUUUGCUGAGAUCUUAAGGAGGGGUAAAAAAAAGCUUUAAUCUUCAGUGCUGUCAUCCUUCUGCUGGAGAACUAAAAUCCAAACAGAAAUGCUUUGGCUGAUGUUAGCAUUGUGAAUUGCUGUUAAAUCUUAAAUCGGUCCCUGAAAUACUGGACCCAACAUGACACUCUAUAUUAAAUAAAACUAAUGCCUCAUGAAGGUUAUCAAUGAUCUCAAAAUGCCAGUCACUUUUCCUUCCUCCUCCCCUCAUCCUAUGCAUUGAUGCAGUGGGAGGAGACCCAAUCCCUGCAUCAAACUUUUGGUCCAGGAUGGAGGAGCCAGCCCACCUCCCUGCUUUCCUCUGUAUCUCUGAGCCAAAUCCUAGGAACUGGUCGUAAUCUGAUGCCACCCCAUAAGCAGCAGUUUUCAGGAUCCUUCCUCUCCCAGGUGUGCUCUGGCUGCUUUGCUCUGCCUGGAGGCUGAAGACUAUCCCACAGGUAGGCUGUAGAUCAGUUUGAGCUGAAGGUCUCUCCAAGAGCACAGUGUAAUGGCAGCCGAAGCUUCAUCCCUGCAGAAGGGGAAGGCAGCAUGGCUCUGCCCCCUGGAGAAGAAACAGGCUGAACCAUGAAGUUGUCAGACCAGACUUGCUAUUUCCUUUAUCCAGAAGGCUUCAGCUAUGCUCCAGGGACUGAAUUCCAUGCAUCUGUAGGGAUGGCUGUGUUAUGUCCAGGAAUGCCUGGCACUGCUUCUGAAAUGGGUUGCUUAUGUUGGCACCAGCAAGUAUCUGAGCAUACUUGUUUUGGCUGAAGUUUCCUUUUUGUAAUCUAAUACUGACCCAGAAUUAUCCUUUCAUGAAGAUGAGUGUGCCUGACUGGAUGGAAAGCACAGGUCCUUCUCUGUGAUUCUGCUUUUCUUAAGCUAAGCUGGACAUCCUUUCCAAACUCAGACCGACAGAACGAGUCUAUCAUGCUCCUUGGAAGGAAUAUACUACUGUCUGCAUGGACGAGAGAACGGAAGCAUGGGAUCUAGUCCUACAGUCUUUACCCAAAUCACUUUCAUACGAAAUCACUCUAGAUUUGAGAAUAAAGUACAAAAAGAAAUUAAUUGCAAAUUACACCGUUUUUAUGGUUUUGUUGGUGGUGGUCUUUUUGUAUUAAAAAAAAAAACCAUGACUGAUUAUUUGUAGGAAGCAAAUAAAAAAGAAAAAGGAUAAAAGUUAUUAAGAGGGAUGUGGCCACGGAUAAACC
ensembl:lncRNA